rnacentral:lncRNA from 1 species
CUCAAAACAAACGCAGGGUAAUUACUUAACUGGGGUAACUAUUAUGUUGUGGCAUGAUUUCGACUUGUCAACCAUCAAAGAAAGACCUGCUUGAGUUGCAUGUCUAGGCAGUCUUGGAACCAAGUCCAGUUGAUUUAACACCGUGUAAGGUAGGUACCUUUUAUGGUUGUUUUAUAUGAUGUUCAUUAUUAAAUGAUGUAAUUGUGUUAUAUUUGAUUGCAUUUGCAAAUCCUAAAUAAUUUGCCAGACUAGUUUUUACGUGAGAUAUUACUGCAUGAUUUAUACAAAUGUACAGUACAAUAUUGAUGUACUGGUUGUAAUAAAAGACAUGUUUAUAUCUAAUAUGCAAAUCUGGACUAACACAGUUGUCAGUUGCGGAGAUAUUUAAGUUGCUAAAUCAGAUUAAGUGGGGCUAGACUCACAGAUCAACCUACACAAAGUGUUACUACACGUGGUGUACUGCAUUAGUAAAAAAUGGUAUAUGUGUUUAACUAGUAGAAGCAGAGGACUUAUAAUAAUCUGUAAUCCAUACUUCAAAUAUGUGUAAAUUCAUGCAUAACAUUUGCAAACAUUCUGAAUUACCAUACUACGGUAAAACGAUAUACGAAAGUGCUUUUUAACCAUAUAUAUAUAUGCUUCAAAUGAUACCACAGUGACUUUAACCGUUGCAAAAUGUACCAUGCAUGCAUUCAUGCAUUCAUCUAGCUAACCAAUCCAGCUUUCAAUAAGAUAAAUCAAACCCUGCUUGACCAAUUCUAGUAUCUACGAGAACAUAGUACAAUAUCAGUGAAGCUUCUUCGAAUUCCACUAUAUGUUUGUCUAGUUACCAUUCAAAUAUCUUGUAAAAAUGAAUGUGUAUCAACUAAAAAAUGAGGGACACAUGCGAAGAUAUAAAAGCGUGCAAGCUUCAAGUGUCUAAUUCUACACUGCAGGGUUAAUGAAGGUGUAUAGUUGGCAAUUGUGGCUUAAAUGAAUGGUUCAGUAACUUUCUAGAAUAUCUUCAUUAGUAUACAAAAUAGCGUAAAUAUAUGUGGUUUUACCAAGCGAUGUCAUGCAGUAGAUGGUAAUUAACCUGCAAUUAUACCAGACGGUGAGAAAAUAAUGUUCUAGUUGAUUCUUUUCAUUCUAUAUGUAAUAGUCUCGUGUUUUGUGGCAAACAGAUGGAAUUGAGAGCUUGUAGUUUAAUUUGCAUGCUCUUAUGUAGAAGUGUCGACAUUUGUGAGCCUGACAACCAUCUCACUGCGUUUGACUGAAACUUAUCUAUAGUGUAUCGGACAAAUGCAACAGACUGGUGAAAAUUAGAUUCUUGUUCGAGCAAUGCACAUACAGGGUUGUUACACCCCGAUGCAAAUUCCUCGCUAUCAAAUUUAAAUGCCUCACUAGCUAAUGGAAUUUUAAUUAUAAACGCCGUUUCAUCCAAUUCCGGUGGAGCUUUGCGGAGUGAAGGCGGAGAGAGUUCUAGUGCGUGCAAACACAUUAAUGAAACAAAUACUGAAUGCAAUCAAGUACCGUUUGACUUGUAUUUGUUUGUUUGGAAUUUCAUUCUUGAUUUGAUAUAACACAGCAGGCUACGGAUAUAUACUUGAAGCUGAUUUCUAAAUAGCGCACGCAAGCUUCAAUUUAUCCCAAGUUCCAAAGUACUUCGAUUUAACUGUUAGAGAGCAUUGCUACAUUUACGGAAAAGCUUUUGGAUUUUUAAAGAAGUUUUUUUUUUUAAAGAGAGAUAUAUAAAAUUCAUCUAUUAGGGCGGGCACAAUACGCAUGAAUGCGCAAGCGACGCGCACAAAGGAGUGAAUAUCAAUGUUUAAAUGCCAGUGUGAUUGUAUGUAGAAAACAUUUUCCUUUUGAAGUUACUUGCAGGGAAUCUUAAAGUGGGCCUAAAACAAACUUGCAAAUACAUAGGUUUAGACUGAAUAUAACCUGUAUAAUCUUAUAAUACUCUUAUAAAGCGAAGAUGCUUUAAUUGUUACAACACUAUAGUAAAAAGUGAACAAAACGAAGACGUAUUAAAUCCUUAAUCUUCAAAUGCCAUGCAUGCAGUCAUCACUAUAGUGAGUCAUGCAUGACCAUCAAUAGUGCAAGUUUUGCUUCAGUUCGGGAUGAAUGCAACGCAAGGAAAUUUUCACGGCGUAUAUGAGCGCAUAUUUGCAAUAGAAUACAUCAAAAUACCAUAGUCCAUACCAUCAAUAUAUUACAAUCGGUCGUAACUCUCAUUCUAUAUUUCAUUCAGUUUUGGUACUCACGCCCAUUAUUGAGUUACACUAUAAACCGCUAGAAACAUACGAACUGUACUUCAUGUAAGAAGUAACAUAGUGUGGCAUGCGCAUUUGAAAUAUUAACUAUAAAGGCUCUUGCUUCACUCAUCGAAAGAAUCAACUCGUUGAUUAACAUAAACUGUCAAACAUUGUGAUUGAAUGUGUUGACUCUUGUGAUGAGUGCAUUAAAGAGCAGUGGAACUGAAGAGCUCUUUUUCACUAAUCAAAAACAGCGAGUUGCGAGUACUUUCGUCCAAUUUAAUACAUUUAAUAUAUUUUGUAUUCAUGUUCUAGUAUAUUGGUAGUUUGAGUGAAGUUUGUUUGUUUGUUUCUUUCCAAUCGCAAGCACUCGCAUUGAGCUUGAAAGUUAGUUUCGCGAUGAAUGAAAACGUGGCCUUGAGGCAUAAAGCAUAUAUAGCAAGAUUUCUAUAAGAAAUUGAGAACUGGACAUUAUGUUUGCACUCAGUAGAGGCUAAAGUUCUUUAUAAGUUCGCAUGGUUAUCAAUACUGAGAAAUGAAAUGAUGAUUAAUUAAUAUAUCGGCCAUCAAAAGCUUUCCGAAAUAAGCUUAAGAGACGUGAUGUUUUGUACACAAAACAAAGUAAUUAAAUAAUAAGUUUACCUUGAACCUCAUAUACGACAAUUAAAACAGCGAUUAUGAUAUUGCUUUUGGAGCGAAUCUUUUGUCCAUUUCAAAACGAUAAUAACUUAAUUUUAGACCAUAAUUCUAGACUUGUUUCUAACGGAUAUGGGCCCUUGAAAGACAUCAAGAGAGGGAGACCGAUAUUACACUGGCACCAAUAUAGCUCGUUUUUUAUAAACAAUAACGACUAUUCGAGCGUCUAAAUUAAAAGUUUAACCCAUAGGCGAAACACUUAUGUGCUUCUAAUAGAACUGGCUCAUUUAUUCCCAUUUGGUCAUUUCAAAACAUUGCACGUUACGCAUUUCAGGGAGCUUCCGCUGGAUAGCAGGAUUGACAUAAGACCGGCAAUAGUUGGCGAUGCAAUAUUUUUCUUAAAUCUAAUUUUCCGACAAUGGGGAAAAAGCAUUAAAGACAUAAUCCUUGGUUCUUCUAUAUCUUUCUUAUAUGUUUUCUACGGUAUUUUGUUGAUUGUAUAAGGCUCUGGGGGCUCAAUUUUCCUCUAUUUUUAUCAUGCAGGAACAAUAACUAAGAGAUAAUCCUUAUAUACUGGACCUCUAGGGAGAACAGUUCAGAACUGAUAGAGCUAUCCAGUAUAAAUAAAGAUUUGUUUGGCUCAGUGGUAAGAAGGUAUAGCAUCUAAAAGAAAAUCGAACCGCAGCCAUUCCUCACUGAAAUUUUGAGAAAAUGUCGGAAAAUAGAAGUUCUUUCAUAUCGGAAAAUAUAUUGGAUCUAUGCACCACCCUGCUGCCGGAAUACAAGUGCCGGAAUACAAGUGCCGUCAUAUUGAAGGGCGGGGGAUCAGCGGGUGUAUAACUAAAGUUUCCUUUGGGGUAAAAUAUAUGUACUGUAAAAACGUUCAAGACAUGAGUAUACAAGUAGACAUACAAAGAGUAAAGGCCACUAGUGAGAAUACGUUUGUAAUUGGUGUUACCCUCGUUAAAUAAAGUUUAUUGUAAGUUCUUUGAAUGUUUGCAUGGCGAUAAAAUAUAAUUGUUUUUGUUUGUGGAAACACCACGUAAAUUUAUUAUACUGCAAAGCUUUCGAUCCGUAAGCCCGGAUCUUCAUCAGUGCUUAUUAUACACUAUUAUUAGCACUGAUGAAGAUCCGGGCUUACGGAUCGAAAGCUUUGCAGUAAUAAAUUUACGUGGUGUUUCCACAAACAAAAACAAUUAAAGAUUAUUGUAUUGUAUUGUAUUAUGCCUUUGGCUUUGAGGAACAGAAAUAAUGAAAUUGGUACCCACAGAUCAGGGGCCAGUUGUUCAAAGCUGGAUCAGUUCUAACUCGCGGUUCAAAUUUAACCUUCUGGGGUUGUUUGUACGAAUUAGGCUGGAUAACGCUAUCCACUGCAUCGUGAUUUUUCAACAUUGAUAUCGUUUAUUUUCACGUCCUUUUACUUCAAAACUUCAGAAAAAAAUCUUUUUUUGAUCCAGACAAGAUUGUGGGGGAAAUAUUUCCAUGUUUAGAAACACACUGUUCGGUGACGACAGCUUUGACGGGUUUUGGUAAACUAGGAAUGGUUAAAGGUUUUUGUCGAUGAAAAUUUCGAGUGUAAACGAGUCAUAUCGUAUCAAGAUCCUGAUAUUGAUCACGAUGAUUCAUUUUCAGUGACAGAUUACAUCAAGUAUUACGCUUACUUGUAUUACCUACUAAGUUUAGACUAUUUAUCUUUACAACAAUUGUGAUAUUACUUUCUUAACUGUGUUUAUCCUAACCCACUCUGUCAACUUUCCCUGUGGGAGGAAACCGGAGCACCCGGAGAAAACCCACGACUUUCGGCAGAGCGUUGACAGACUCUUUUCUUCUUUUCACAUGAGUCCACCCACGAUCUCAGACGUGAAAGGCGCGUGCUCUGACGAGUGGGCUACCGAAGCCCCCUUAAUAUGGAUCCAUAGGACUGAAGCUAACCAGCUUUCGAAAAACCUUCCCCAGUGUAGCAGCUUUUUACAAGGGCGGGGACGAGGCUACCUCGCCAACCAGGUCGUUGUUAUCUUGAUCCUGAGUUAGAAUAGCUAUCAAUCAUGUUUCGAAUAUGUAUAAUCAAAUAGAUUCUUAGAAAAAUGCAAUUAUGUAUAGUGUUAACUGUUGUGUCAAUAUAAACUUAAAUUGGAUUGGUCUCGAUUUUGUGUCCCUGGCUAUCAGUUAGAAGCACGCGUUCGAUAAUCGAUUGAUAAACCGAUAAAAAUAUCUUCAUCCAGUACUUAUAGUUUUAUAAGUUUAGUUAAGAGUUAUCCAAUAUUGUUUCAGGUUAGCUUGGUGAUUCAAUUAUGCAUGUAAUUGACACAUUACGGUGAGCUUUGAAGUGAUCACAGGCCACAGCAAAGACGAUACAAUGAGUUCGUCAUCAUGUCUCCUACAUUUGAAUAACAAUGUUUAAAUGCCUCUAAAGGCCGUUUUCCACUAGGCGAAUUUUUUCGCGCGACGCGAAGCGAAAACCGAAAUCCGGCAACGUGAUUGGUCGGCGAAAAAAUUCGCGGCGAAAAAGUAGGAUCGCUUCCUACUUUUUAUCUGUUCGCGCGAAUAAAUUCGCCUAGUGGAAAACGGCCUUAAAGCCGUAAUGCUCCAUCGAUCCAACCACAAACUCCAUGAAAGAGUGCUUUAUCAAAUUCCGCACUACUUUCCACAAGUGCUUCAAUUUGCGUUCGUCAUUUACACGUGGUAUUCAAGUAGCAAUUAUCUGAAAUGCACCCCUUUUAUAGCCUCGCCUCUAGCGUCGUCAUACAAUUUAGUAUUUAUAGCAUAGUGAGUAGCUUAGCUGCCUUUCUGUAACCAAGGUUCUACUCCUGCAGUAUAUAUACAGUGUUAAUGCUAUUUUCUGAGCGUUUCAAGUUUAAACAAAAAGCGCAGGUUUAGUUUUGUAACACUGGACUUAAAAUAAUGGAUGAUCCUUACCUAUAGGAAGAACAGUUUAGAAGUCAGUGAUCAUAUAGUAGAGCUAUCCAAACUGAAGAUUCUAGAAACGUUGUACCAAAUUAAAUGCUGUAUCGAUUCAGUUUACAUUUUUGAAUCAAACUAAAUUAAAACGAGCCGUCACACAUUAUUAUGCCAUUGUAUUCACGUAGUAUUGUGUACAUAGCUAUAGUUUGUUUAUUGAACACUGUAUAAGAGUCUUCUCUGUUAAGUACAUACGCAAAAACUUCCGUAACGUUGUAUAUGAUCAAAUUACUCCGUGCUACUAUAAGCUAUAUAGCAGGCCGGUCCAGAUUGGCAAAUCUACGAGAAAAAUUGUGGUGCGGUCUAUAAAGGCUAAAUACUGAGUCAGUUUCCUCAAACAUUUCUUACAAAUCUUUCGAUACUUUCUGACUUGUCAGUACCGUCAUGUCUGACGCCGGCAUUCAUUCAAUUAAGUACUUUAGUACAAAUAUAUCCCAUUUUGUUUCCGCAACGUUCUAUAAAUACUUUAUCAGAAUACUUUGCGCUCUCAUAUAAGCUACCGUACGAGGUCCAGAUCACAACUCUGCGAGAAAAUAAUUUGUGGUGUCGAUAUAAAGUUUGUGUUGUACUAAAUAUCGUUUUUCUUGUUGUUUAUAACACGAAUGCAAGUUUUAAAGAGUUACUUCUGCUACUGCCACUAUCCGGUAUGGGCAAAGUUUUAAUUUUACUCGAUAGUUUUAGUCAUGUGGGUGCAUUAUUUUAUUGAAUUUUGAGUCAAAAGUACUCGGGUUUUUUUUGCAGUGUGAGCCUCGGACACAUUGGACGACCACACCCUGUGUAAAUGACAAUAAAUAUAAUGUAUAAUCUGAGUAGUUGAUUGUGUAAAGUUAGUAAAAAAGACAAAACUCUGAAAGACUAGUAAUUAAGUUCGUAGAAAGUUUCACAAGCAGCAACUUCAUACGAUGAAAUUUUUAUCUUUUAUAGUAGUAACCUCAAUGACCAACGAGUGAUAUAGUGACUCUCCAUGAGCAGAUUCCUUUCUCAAGAAAAUGCGUGCAUGUGUAUUGUAUAGAAUAGCGAAGCACGUCAAAAACGUUCUCGAUCUUACAAGGCCAAGGGCCCAAGGAUAUCAAACAAAGAGCUUACGAUUAAAUAUACUGCGAAGCUUUUUUCAAUAGGCAUUCUCACGGAAAGCCUGAACAGGUUUUUACCAAUUGAUCUCGAGGGCUUAUUGUUUGCAGUGCUUCUAUAUGAGAAGACGUAAAUAUUUAACAAAUUAUGAACAUAUAUAUCUUCAAUUCUUUUACGAUCUUGGGCGAGGAUUGAGUAAAAGUUGGAGAGAAUCCAAAUUGAAUAAAAAAUGAUUACGUACAAUUUCCGAGAUGAAUAAGUAGCAUGUACGCAAGCGAAAACUAUAGUAUAAAUAUGAGUCACUUUUUAUGGGAAGUUAGUAUACGUGUUAUGAGAAAAUUAGCAAUGGCAUUAAAGCAGGCAUUAAAAUAGCGUGUCCUUGUACACACUUUGUGUCCUUGUAAAAGGCGAAUGUGCCCUUGUAAAUUGAAAAGUGUGUACUUGAAAAUAUAUUAAACUAAAAAUAUAUUAAUGUAAUCCACGCAAAAUGGCGAAAGAUUUUGCAAAUUCUGUUCUCAGAACUCUGGAAAUGCCAUUUCAGAGACCCCUUAAAAGCUCGCGUCUUCGAUGCCGCUAAACUUGUACUGGCUUCGCCACUCGUUCUCGUGAGUCUGCGCAUUAAUUUAUACCAAAAAUACGCCUCUGAAGGUGUGUCCUUGUAAAAGUGUGUCCUUGUAAAAAUUCCGUAUUUUAAUGCCUGCAUUAAAGUGACAGACACAGAGUCCCCCUGGCUCGCACAAUGGUUAGGAACUAUAGUUGAUAUCUGCGUAACAGUGCUAUAAUGUUCGUCUUGACGUAAAAUGUAAUGUGUAUAGUAUAAAUAGUGAAAUAGCUUAAACUAACUGUAUUUAUACCAGUUCCAUUCUAACAAUUUUCCCUUGUGGUUCGGUAAGGGACAUUCUGUUAUACUGGAUAGCAUUUCCAGUUCUAAACUCUUCUCUUAUAGAAACAUGCAGGAGCACCUAGAGUAUGUAGUCUUCUCAAAUUCAAUGCCGGAGUCUUUAAAGAACGAAGCAUUUAAAAUUGACAUUCUUUUCUGAUUUCGCCAUGUUUACAAGGAAUUAAUAGGUGUAAUAUGUCAAAGUGGACGGGUAUUCUGCAAUCUAACCAAAAUGACAUAAUAAUUGCAGGAAUUGAACCACAGUUGGGCGACCACUGUUGGCGUCUUCAUAAUCGAGCAGUCAUAAUUUCAUAUUAUCCCACAGGUUUGAGCAAUGAGCAGUAUUGGAAGUCAGUCUCAGUCCAACCGACCAGCCUUAUUCCCAGUGGAAUGGCCGCUGACCCAGAUCAAUGCAGGCAACAAAAGACAACCCAUAGCCCGCAACGAGCUAACACCCAAGCCCAAACGUAGAAAAGCAGAACACUCUAAUACCCUGACCCGCAACCAAUUGUCCAGAACAACCGCUGAACACUACACACAGACUGACAACAAACCAACCGCAAGGGAACUGGGAACUAAUGCCCAGUGUCAUAACCGAGGGACUUCCAUCAGUGACGUCAAAUACGAGCCCGCAACACCGACCGCUGUCCCUAAUAUUUUUAAAUCUCUCGAUCACGAUGAGGCAAGCUGGUUAGUGGAGGAGGUGAAUGAAGCGAACAAGAGUAUUUUUGGAGCAGAGAAAACGGCUGAGAAAUUAAAGGAAGGCGAUGAAGAGCUCGACAGAAAGAAAACAUCACUGAGUGCUCUGAA